GGACCCGCACAAGCGGUGGAUGAUGUUCUUUAAUUCGAUGCAACGCGAAAAACCUUACCCACCUUUGACAUGUACGGAAUCCUUUAGAGAUAGAGGAGUGCUCGAAAGAGAGCCGUAACACAGGUGCUGCAUGGCUGUCGUCAGCUCGUGUCGUGAGAUGUUGGGUUAAGUCCCGCAACGAGCGCAACCCUUGCCAUUAGUUGCUACGAAAGGGCACUCUAAUGGGACUGCCGGUGACAAACCGGAGGAAGGUGGGGAUGACGUCAAGUCCUCAUGGCCCUUAUAGGUGGGGCUAGAAACGUCAUACAAUGGCCGGUACAAAGGGUCGCUAAGCCGCGAGGUGGAGCCAAUCCCAUAAAGCCGGUCGUAGUCCGGAUCGCAGUCUGCAACUCGACUGCGUGAAGUCGGAAUCGCUAGUAAUCGUGGAUCAGCAUGUCACGGUGAAUACGUUCCCGGGUCUU
rnacentral:rRNA from 1 species